GAUGAACGCUAGCGGCAGGCCUAAUACAUGCAAGUCGAACGAGAUUAAGAGGCUUGCUUCUUAUGAAAGUGGCGCACGGGUGCGUAACGCGUAUGCAACCUACCUUAAUCAGGGGGAUAGCCCGAAGAAAUUCGGAUUAAGACCGCAUAAAAACACAGGAUAGCAUUAUCCAAUGUUCAAAUAUUUAUAGGUUUAAGAUGGGCAUGCGUGUCAUUAGCUAGUUGGCGGGGUAACGGCCCACCAAGGCGACGAUGACUAGGGGAUCUGAGAGGAUGACCCCCCACACUGGUACUGAGACACGGACCAGACUCCUACGGGAGGCAGCAGUAAGGAAUAUUGGUCAAUGGAGGGAACUCUGAACCAGCCAUGCCGCGUGCAGGAAGACAGCCCUCUGGGUCGUAAACUGCUUUUAUUCGGGAAUAAACCUUUCUACGUGUAGGAAGCUGAAUGUACCGAAGGAAUAAGGAUCGGCUAACUCCGUG
rnacentral:rRNA from 1 species